UACGUAGGUGGCAAGCGUUAUCCGGAAUUAUUGGGCGUAAAGAGCGCGCAGGUGGUUGAUUAAGUCUGAUGUGAAAGCCCACGGCUUAACCGUGGAGGGUCAUUGGAAACUGGUCAACUUGAGUGCAGAAGAGGGAAGUGGAAUUCCAUGUGUAGCGGUGAAAUGCGUAGAGAUAUGGAGGAACACCAGUGGCGAAGGCGGUUUCCUGGUCUGUAACUGACACUGAGGCGCGAAAGCGUGGGGAGCAAACAGG
rnacentral:rRNA from 1 species